rnacentral:pre_miRNA from 1 species
AGUAGAAUUGCAGGGUUAAAUGGUUACUCUGUGUUUAGUUUUUUGAGGAAUUCCCAGACUGUUUUCCAAAGUGCCUGUACCAUUUUACAUUCCCACCAGCAGU